rnacentral:lncRNA from 1 species
AGCAAGUUCAUUUAUUUAUUAAACUAUUGUUGUUUAAAAAUAACAGCCAGCAGUCCCCGCAGAAAUAAACACUGCCAUGCUGGCCUCCCUCGGGAAUCUCCCCCCUAACGAGGGCUCCCACUCCCAAAUUCAUUACCUCCCACAUGCUCACUAGAGAGAGGAGCAUAACGUUACUGAUGCCGUGCAGCGUCCGAAGCGCUGCGAGGAAUGUCCGGGGCUUUGGCCGCCGAUCUGUUACAGGGAACGGCGUUACCGGCUCUGGGCAGUUGCUGCCGCAGAGCUCGCAGCUCCCCGCAGCCCCGGGCUGGCUCACCCCGCUGCCGGCGGCAGGUCCCAGGGAUGACCUGGGAAAGGGCAGACAACUGUCCCGCUGCAAAACCUGCCCGGCCCAAUGUGAAGAAGUGCUAUUGGCCCUCAGUAACGACACGAAGCGCUCACGUGGCAGGCCGAGACCGCAGCCCGAUGCUUUCCUGUGAAUCAUCAGCCGGCUCCGAGUGCGAGGAAUGCCUUCGCAUGGGCAGAGAGGCCUCUGGGUCAGACCAGACCCAUCCAUCUGGUCUGGCUACCUCUAACACCGGCCUCCAGCAGGUACUUCAAAGGGCUCAUUGCUCACUGCGGAGCAUCUCAAAUAACCUCCCUACAGGGAUCCUUUCUUCCAAGCUUCCAUCUGUUGGUGUCCUUAUUAAAUAUAUGCAUCACUGCUGCACGCUUUUACUGUCUGGCCUCGGUCAAAGAAAAUCUCUUACCCCCUUACACAACGCUUCCAAACUUCCCCAAAGGUACCUCUGGCUCAGCCAAAGCAAAGGUGUUGCCAGUUCCCACCACAGGUCAGCGGCAGAAGCAGCCGACGUGUCCGGACCCCGGGAUAACACCCCGGCCGCAGCACAAUGCUGCCCUCCGCAUCACCAGGGGACAAGGAGCCCUGCAAACCUCCCUGCUGCUGCGUAGAGGACACCGAGCAAGAAGGGACUAAGUGACACUUAUCACAGCUUAGCCAAAAACCAAGAGGCUGAAGCAAAAGCAGAAC